rnacentral:tRNA from 1 species
GUUCCUGUAGCGCAAUGGACAGCGCGUUGGACUUCUAAUCCAAAGAUCGUGUGUUCGUGAAUCCCACCUAGAAUG